CCAGGCUUGAACAGCGAGUGACCACCUACGAAAGUAGGCUUCCGCAAGGACACUCGUAGAGGUGCUGCAUGGCUGUCGUCAGCUCGUGUCGUGAGAUGUUGGGUUAAGUCCCGCAACGAGCGCAACCCUUGUUUGCUGUUGCCAUCAGGUUAAGCUGGGCACUCUGCAAAGACUGCCGGUGAUAAACCGGAGGAAGGUGGGGAUGACGUCAAGUCAGCAUGGCCUUUAUGUCUGGGGCUACACACGUGCUACAAUGGCCGGUACAAACCGUCGCGAGCCCGCAAGGGGGAGCUAAUCGGAGAAAGCCGGUCUCAGUUCGGAUAGCAGGCUGCAACUCGCCUGCUUGAAGUUGGAAUCGCUAGUAAUCGCGGAUCAGCACGCCGCGGUGAAUACGUUCCC
rnacentral:rRNA from 1 species